GAUUAUAGAAACGAAUAGUGAAUGUCUACCAUGAUGAUGUUGAAUUGUGAAAAUAUUAAACCUACGUACAAAAUGUUUAUGUCAUUAAUAAUUUAUACAAAGAGAAAAAUACAUGUAUACUCGGUUUUGGAAUAUGUAUUUACAUUUAUGGUAGUAGUACUGCUGAUGAGGGGCAUGCUAGCCCGAAACACAAGUGAUAAGUGUACAGAAACUAUUACAACAGGUG